rnacentral:rRNA from 1 species
UAAGGAAUAUUGCUCAAUGGGAGAAAUCCUGAAGCAGCAACGCCGCGUGGAGGAUGAAGGGUCUAUGACUUGUAAACUCCUGUAAAGAUGGAAAAAAUUCCCAUUAGAUGGGAGAUGAUGGUACUUCUGGAGUAAGCCCCGGCUAACUACGUGCCAGCAGCCGCGGUAAUACGUAGGGGGCAAGCGUUGUCCGGAUUUACUGGGUGUAAAGGGUGCUCAGGCGGAUUUGUAAGUCAGAGGUGAAAUCUUACAGCUUAACUGUGAAACUGCCUUUGAUACUGCAAGCCUCGAGUAUGGAAGAGAGUGAUGUAAUAUCUGGUGUAGCAGUGAACUUCGUAGAUAUCAGAUAGAACACCGAUCGCGAAGGCAGUCACUUGGUCCAUUACUGACGCUAAAGCACGAAAGCGUGGGU